rnacentral:tRNA from 1 species
GAGGGUAUAUCUCAAGUGGUAGAGUUCAUACUCAGCAUUCAUGAGGUCCUGGGUUCAAUCCCCAGUACCUCCU